UACGAAGGGGGCUAGCGUUGCUCGGAUUUACUGGGCGUAAAGGGCGCGUAGGCGGUUCGUACAGUCAGACGUGAAAUUCCUGGGCUCAACCUGGGGGCUGCGUUUGAUACGUGCGGGCUUGAGUGCGGAAGAGGGUCGUGGAAUUCCCAGUGUAGAGGUGAAAUUCGUAGAUAUUGGGAAGAACACCGGUGGCGAAGGCGGCGACCUGGUCCGAUACUGACGCUGAGGCGCGAAAGCGUGGGGAGCAAACAGG
rnacentral:rRNA from 1 species